rnacentral:rRNA from 1 species
AAUUCCGGUGAAGAUGCCGGAUACCUGCGACAGGACGGAAAGACCCCAUGGAGCUUUACUGUAGCUUGACAUUGGGUCUUGGUACUACAUGUACAGGAUAGGGGGGAGGCUUUGAAACCAGGACGCCAGUUUUGGCGGAGCCAUCCUUGGGAUACCACCCUUGUAGUACUGGGACUCUAACCAUAGGCCAUGAAUCUGGUCUUGGG